AGAGUUUGAUCCUGGCUCAGAGCGAACGCUGGCGGCAGGCCUAACACAUGCAAGUCGAACGAACCUUCGGGUUAGUGGCGGACGGGUGAGUAACACGUGGGAACGUGCCUUUUGGUUCGGAACAACUCAGGGAAACUUGAGCUAAUACCGAAUGUGCCCUUCGGGGGAAAGAUUUAUCGCCAUUAGAGCGGCCCGCGUCUGAUUAGCUUGUUGGUGAGGUAAAGGCUCACCAAGGCUACGAUCAGUAGCUGGUCUGAGAGGAUGAUCAGCCACAUUGGAACUGAGACACGGUCCAGACUCCUACGGGAGGCAGCAGUGGGGAAUUUUGCGCAAUGGGCGAAAGCCUGACGCAGCAACGCCGCGUGAGUGAUGAAGGCCCUCGGGUCGUAAAGCUCUGUCAGAGGGGAAGAACCGCCGGGUGGCUAAUACCUGCCUGGUCUGACGGUACCCUCAAAGGAAGCACCGGCUAACUCCGUGCCAGCAGCCGCGGUAAUACGUAAGGGGCGAGCGUUGUUCGGAAUUAUUGGGCGUAAAGGGCGUGCAGGCGGCUUUACAAGUCUGUUGUGAAAUCCCGGGGCUUAACUCCGGAUCCGCGAUGGAAACUGUAAGGCUUGAAUCUUGGAGGGGGAGUUGGAAUUCCUAGUGUAGGGGUGAAAUCUGUUGAUAUUAGGAAGAACACCGGUGGCGAAGGCGAACUCCUGGCCGAAGAUUGACGCUGAGGCGCGAAAGCGUAGGUAGCAAACAGGAUUAGAUACCCUGGUAGUCC
rnacentral:rRNA from 1 species